rnacentral:rRNA from 1 species
AGUCGAACGGGAUCCAAGCAGCUUGCGUGUUUGGUGAGAGUGGCGAACGGGUGAGUAAUGCGUGACCGACCUGCCCCAUACACCGGAAUAGCUCCUGGAAACGGGUGGUAAUGCCGGAUGCUCCAGUUGGAUGCAUGUCCUUCUGGGAAAGAUUCUAUCGGUAUGGGAUGGGGUCGCGUCCUAUCAGGUAGUCGGCGGGGUAACGGCCCACCGAGCCUACGACGGGUAGCCGGCCUGAGAGGGCGACCGGCCACAUUGGGACUGAGAUACGGCCCACACUCCUACGGGAGGCAGCAGUGGGGAAUAUUGCACAAUGGGCGCAAGCCUGAUGCAGCGACGCCGCGUGCGGGAUGACGGCCUUCGGGUUGUAAACCGCUUUUGACUGGGAGCAAGCCCUUCGGGGUGAGUGUACCUUUCGAAUAAGCACCGGCUAACUACGUGCCAGCAGCCGCGGUAAUACGUAGGGUGCAAGCGUUAUCCGGAAUUAUUGGGCGUAAAGGGCUCGUAGGCGGUUCGUCGCGUCCGGUGUGAAAGUCCAUCGCUUAACGGUGGAUCAGCGCCGGGUACGGGCGGGCUUGAGUGCGGUAGGGGAGACUGGAAUUCCCGGUGUAACGGUGGAAUGUGUAGAUAUCGGGAAGAACACCAAUGGCGAAGGCAGGUCUCUGGGCCGUC